rnacentral:rRNA from 1 species
GACGAACGCUGGCGGCGUGCCUAAUACAUGCAAGUAGAACGCUGAAGGAGGAGCUUGCUUCUCUGGAUGAGUUGCGAACGGGUGAGUAACGCGUAGGUAACCUGCCUGGUAGCGGGGGAUAACUAUUGGAAACGAUAGCUAAUACCGCAUAAUAGUAGAUGUUGCAUGACAUUUGCUUAAAAGGUGCAAUUGCAUCACUACCAGAUGGACCUGCGUUGUAUUAGCUAGUUGGUGAGGUAACGGCUCACCAAGGCAACGAUACAUAGCCGACCUGAGAGGGGGAGCGGCCACCCUGGGACUGAGACACGGCCCAGACUCCUACGGGAGGCAGCAGUAGGGAAUCUUCGGCAAUAGGCGGAAGUCUGACCGAGCAACGCCGCGUGAGUGAAGAAGGUUUUCGGAUCGUAAAGCUCUGUUGUAAGGGAAGAACGAGUGUGAGAGUGGAAAGUUCACACUGUGACGGUAACCUACCAGAAAGGGACGGCUAACUACGUG